GAUUUGGUAGCACAAUGGUAGUGCAUCUGCAUCAAUUGUAGUGCCGCUAGGAAGUUACGCAGAAGAUCCCGGUUCGACUCCGGACUCGGUCG